GGAUCCCCAUUGUGACCCGGGAGGGGGUGGAGUCCAGCCAAGAGAGGAGCCAGCCGCUGCGCAGCCUCUCCAUGGCUCCUCCAGCCUGGCAGGGGCACGGGACUCAGACCCAGGUGUCCACUGUCCAUAUUGUGGGUCCGGAGGUCCCCUGAGCUCAGAGGUACGCUCCUGCGUGCUCAGCUCAGGAUGGAGGAAAGGAGACCUGGGAAGCAGCAUGGCCAGUGUAUUUCCGGAGGGCACUCAGACCCAAGGAUGGAGGCAGAAAGCCAGGCCGAGCAGGGCCACGGGCACGCCGCGCGCUCCCAGGAACAACCCCAGGCCCAGAAGCAGCAGCAGCAGGGCCUCGUGGGGGCUGAGUCUUCCUGGGACCACCGCCGCCGUAGGUAGGAGGACAGCCUCCCGCUGUCCCGGACCCUCACCGGCCCCCUGACUCCGGCCUCCUGUGAGAAGUGUGUGCUGUGGCCCGGGGGCGUCUGCGGGCCUGUGGAGAGAGCAGGUGGCCUCUGGGCUUCUAGAAGGUGACCACUUACCCGCCUGCCCGGCUGCAGCGCACUUACCAGUGGAGCAGGUCGAAGGCCAGGAAACUGACCAGGAGCAGCAGCAGCAAGGCUGGGCCAGCCGUGGAAAAGACUGUCCGAAUCGUCAGCCCCAGUGCCCCCAGCCCUAGGACGCUGUCGAGGAGAAAGCUGCCGGAGGAUGUGCUUCAGCAAAAUCAGGCAUUAAACCGCAAGGACAAUACGAGACUAAAGAAAUGAGGCUAAGUACAGGAAAGCAAUGAGGAGAAAGGCUCAGGAUGUCAGCUGUGCUUCCCAGUGAAGAAAGCAAACAACCCAGCCUGGACUCAAAAGCAAGAUGCUCCAGGAGGGAUGUCUCCAGAAGAAAAUGAGAUUGAUUAUCUGCGGUUUUUAGAUAUGUUAAAAAUAAAUGUUCAGUUCCGCUGGUUG